rfam:Schistosoma curassoni strain Dakar, Senegal genome assembly, scaffold: SCTD_scaffold0000187
AUCCAGCUGACCAGUCCCAAAUAGGACGAAACGCGGUUCCUAGAU